UACGUAGGUGGCAAGCGUUGUCCGGAAUUACUGGGCGUAAAGCGUGCGCAGGCGGUGAUGUAAGACAGAUGUGAAAGCCCCGGGCUCAACCUGGGAAUGGCAGUGGAAACUAGGGGACUGGAAUCUGGCAGAGGGGGGUGGAAUGCCGCGUGUAGCAGUGAAAUGCGUAGAGAUGCGGCGGAACACCGAUGGCGAAGGCAGCCCCCUGGGCUGAGAUUGACGCUCAGGCACGAAAGCGUGGGGAGCAAACAGG
rnacentral:rRNA from 1 species